AUGAAAGAUUAACUUCUGCGAAAGCAUCUGCCAAGGAUGUUUUCAUUAAUCAAGAACGAAAGUUAGGGGAUCGAAGACGAUCAGAUACCGUCGUAGUCUUAACCAUAAACGAUGCCGACCAGCGAUUAGGAGACGUUGAAUACAAAACACCACCAUCGGUGCGGUCGUCCUUGGCGUCUCGGUUUCUGCCGGGGUGCGGGGACGGGUUAGCCCGAUGGCACCGGUGAAUGACUCCCCUAGCAGCUUGUGAGAA
rnacentral:rRNA from 1 species